rnacentral:rRNA from 1 species
AGCCAGACUCCUACGGGAGGCAGCAGUGAGGAAUAUUGGUCAAUGGUCGGGAGACUGAACCAGCCAAGCCGCGUGAGGGAGGAAGGUACAGAGUAUCGUAAACCUCUUUUGUCAGGGGACAAAGACUGGGACGCGUCCCCGGAUGAGUGUACCUGAAGAAAAAGCAUCGGCUAACUCCGUGCCAGCAGCCGCGGUAAUACGGAGGAUGCGAGCGUUAUCCGGAUUUAUUGGGUUUAAAGGGUGCGUAGGCGGUAUAUCAAGUCAGAUGUAAAAGCCGGGGGCUCAACCCGGGCGAGCCGUUGAAACUGGCUGUCUUGAGAUGUCGGGAGGUAUGCGGAAUGCGCAGUGUAGCGGUGAAAUGCUUAGAUAUU